UGCUGCAUGGCUGUCGUCAGCUCGUGUCGUGAGAUGUUGGGUUAAGUCCCGCAACGAGCGCAACCCUUGCCAUUAGUUGCUACGAAAGGGCACUCUAAUGGGACUGCCGGUGACAAACCGGAGGAAGGUGGGGAUGACGUCAAGUCCUCAUGGCCCUUAUAGGUGGGGCUACACACGUCAUACAAUGGCCGGUACAAAGGGCAGCCAACCCGCGAGGGGGAGCCAAUCCCAUAAAGCCGGUCGUAGUCCGGAUCGCAGUCUGCAACUCGACUGCGUGAAGUCGGAAUCGCUAGUAAUCGUGGAUCAGCAUGUCACGGUGAAUACGUUCCCGGGUCUU
rnacentral:rRNA from 1 species